GACGAACGCUGGCGGCGUGCUUAACACAUGCAAGUCGAACGGAAAGGCCCUGCUUGCAGGGUACUCGAGUGGCGAACGGGUGAGUAACACGUGGGGGAUCUGCCCUGCACUUCGGGCUAAGCCUGGGAAACUGGGUCUAAUACCGGAGAGCAGACAUCUUUAGUGUGUUGGUUGGAAAGUUUUUUCGGGGUAGGAUGAGUUGGCGGCCUAUCAGCUUGUUGGUGGGGUAAUGGAUUACCAAGGCGGCGACGGGUAGCCGGACUGAGGGGGUGGGCGGCCGCACUGGGACCGAGAGGCGGCCGAGACUGCGACGGGUGGCAGAAGUGGGGAAGAUUGCACGAGGGGCGCAGGGCGGAUGAAGAGACGCCGCGUGGGGGAUGACGGCGUUGGGGUUGUAAACUCCGUUCGCUAGGGACGAAGCUUUUUGUGACGGUACCUAGAGAAGAAGCACCGGCUAACUACGUG
rnacentral:rRNA from 1 species